GAGAUUAUAGUCAACUAUGACAUUUGAUUUGCACUCAAAAAGUGCCCCCGAGGGUUAAUCUUA
rnacentral:tRNA from 1 species